rnacentral:ncRNA from 12 species
UGAGAUGAAGCACUGUAGCUCA